rnacentral:tRNA from 1 species
CCCAGUCUUGGCCGUGUGGUCUAAGGCGCCAGACUCAAGUUCUGGUGGAGAGAUCCUCGUGGGUUCGAAUCCCACAGCUGACA